rnacentral:snRNA from 1 species
UCAAAACAAAAUACUCAAUCUGA